rnacentral:rRNA from 1 species
CGCGGCCUAUCAGCUUGUUGGUGGGGUAACGGCCUACCAAGGCUUCGACGGGUAGCUGGUCUGAGAGGACGAUCAGCCCGACUGGGACUGAGACACGGCCCAGACUCCUACGGGAGGCAGCAGUUGGGAAUCUUGCGCAAUGGGCGAAAGCCUGACGCAGCGACGCCGCGUGCAGGACGAAGUCCUUCGGGAUGUAAACUGCUUUUGCCAGGAAAGAUUAUGACGGUACCUGGUGAAUAAGCCCCGGCUAACUACGUGCCAGCAGCCGCGGUAAGACGUAGGGGGCGAGCGUUGUCCGGAUUCACUGGGCGUAAAGAGCGCGUAGGCGGCCUGUUAAGUCAGGAGUGAAAUCUCCAGGGCUCAACCCGGAAAUUGCUUCUGAUACUGGCAGGCUAGAGGGUCAGAGAGGUGAUUGGAAUUCCCGGUGUAGCGGUGACAUGCAUUGAUAUCGGGAGGAACACCCGUGGCGAAGGCGGAUCACUGGCUGACUCCUGACGCUGAGGCGCGAAAGCGUGGGGAGCGAACAGGAUUAGAUACCCUGGUAGUCCACGCCCUAAACGAUGGGUACUAGUCGUCGGAGGUAUCCACCCCUUCGGUGACGAAGCAAACGCAUUAAGUACCCCGCCUGGGGAGUACGG